AACGAACGCUGGCGGCAUGCCUAACACAUGCAAGUCGAACGAGACCUUCGGGUCUGCUUGCGCACGGGUGCGUAACGCGUGGGAACCGUCCGUUAUGUUCGGAAUAACUCUCCGAAAGGGGUGCUAAUACCGGGUAAUGUCUUCUAACCACAGAUUGAUCGCCUUUGUAUGGGCCGGAGUUGUAUUAGCUAGUUGCGAUUGUAAAAGCCUACCAAGGCGAGGAUCCAUAGCGGGUCAGAGAGGAUCAGCCGCCACACUUGGACGGAGACACGGCGCAGACUACUACGCGAGGCAGCAGUGGCGAAUCCUGGCCAACCGGCGAAGGCAUGAUGCAGUACUGCUGCGUGAGCCCUUAAGUUCGUAGGGAUGUAAAGCUCUUUUAUCCGGCAUGAUUCUGACAGUACCGGGAGAAUAAGCUCCGGCUAACUUCGUG
rnacentral:rRNA from 1 species